GUUAGUUUAGACCGCUAAAUGAAGUAAUUGUCAGUAUACCACAGACACAGUGUUUUCCUGAACAUUGUUGGAGAAGAUCCUCAUUCUUGUAAUCAGAUAGAAAAGUUAACAGCUGUCAUAAUUUCUAUUUGUGUCGUUUGAUUUCUUUUACAUGGCUUUAAUAGAGGUGGAGUAGACUGAAAAAUUAAUCACAAAUGUCUAUAAACACCAGAUAAGUCAGUUUGCUUUUCCUGUGUAUGAGAUAAAUCUACUUGUCUUGAUAAGUAGUUGCUGAGACUUACAUAGUGUUCUCAUUACACUGAUCCGUGCUGCUUGUUUCCAUCCUAUGUUUAGGAAAGUUACCUCGAAGUUUGUGCAUUUUACCUGUUUGUAACCAAAAGGUAUUUUUUAACUGUUCUCUAAGACAGCAAAGGAGGCUGUUUAGACUUCCAAGGUGCCACCACUGGUGCUUGUGUUGGUUCAGCUCACCCACUCAGGAGGAAAUGGUCUAUGUUUUUGCUUGAUGACUUACAAAAGGAUCCAGUAAAGACCAGAACUGGUAUAAGAGCCACUGCCUUUCCUACUGGCCCUUGAAAGAAGGCCCAGAAGUCAAAACACUGAUGAUUUACACCUGUACACAGAUUAGAUUAAAAUUCCUGCUGCUUUGCUCCGCAAAAUCUAUCUCCUCUUUCUCCCACAUAAGGACACUUGUAUUUGCUGUUUUUUGUAUUCUCAUAGCAACUGCAUUUUCAAAGGAAACUGCAUGUAAAAUCUGGAAAUAUGGCAACAAUUCUGAAUUCACACAUCACCACAGUCUUCCUGUUGUUGAUUUUUCCUA